ACGAACGUUGGCGGCGUGGAUUAGGCAUGCAAGUCGAACGAAUCUCAGCUUUGUAGCAAUACCGAGCUGGGGGAAGUGGCGAAAGGGGCAGUAAUGCAUGGGUAACCUACCCCGGGGACGGGGAUAGCCAUUCUAACGAGUGGGUAAUACCUGGCGAUUUGGUCGAGGGGCAUCUCUUGGCCAGGAAAUGAAUUUCGCCUCGGGAGGGGCUCAUGUGAUAUUAGCUAGUUGGUAGGGUAACGGCCUACCAAGGCAAAGAUGUCUAGCGGGUGUGAGAGCACGACCCGCGCCACUGGCACUGAGACACUGGCCAGACACUUACGGGUGGCUGCAGUCGAGGAUCUUCGGCAAUGGGCGCAAGCCUGACCGAGCGACGCCGCGUGGAUGAUGAAGGCCUUCGGGUUGUAAAAUCCUGUCGAGGGGGAUAAAGGCGCAAGCUUGAUAUAUCCCUGGAGGAAGCACGGGCUAAGUUCGU
rnacentral:rRNA from 1 species